GCCCGUGAAGCCAAGACUGAGAGUGUGCAGCGCCGUCCUGGGCACAUCCCGGCGAGCGCCGCCCCAGCAAGCUGCAUCACCGCCAAGCAUCCCCCGUGCCUCGAGUGACGACGUUUCACCUGAUGUUUCUCCCCACGGCAGCGCAGAAGGGAACCAACGCGUCGUCUGCCAGUACGGGCGAGCGAGAGGAUGAUGCUGAGUUGCUGACGGAUCUGCUCCUCUUUUUUCCGGGGUUGCUCUCAGUUUGGUCCUAGGCGGUGGCCUGCAGUGCCAGGCCGCCAGCUUCCAACUUGGCGGCGGCGGCGGACGAGCCCACGGCAUGCUGUCCUCCGGAGGCGAGCCAACAGCGAGCUGCGACUCCUCCUCUGUCACUCACGCGGCAAGCAGCGAGCUAGCAACUCUAAGGCGGUAGCUCUCCAGUUGGUCGUCACUUUGUUGGCAGCAGCAACACCACUAAGGUAUGCUCCUCUUUUUGUUCUUUUUGACAUCCACUAUUCAAAUCUAUACACACCAUCAUUAUUGCCAGCUUAGAUGAUAGUUUGUAUUUUCUAGACUUCUAUUUUUAUUGAUCUAAGGGGAAAAAAACAUGUGGGAGGUUUUUUUUGCUCUUUGUUGUGAUAUGUCGUUGCAGAAAGGUUUUGUUUUGUGGGUGCAUAUAGUACAGAAAAUUGUAUACCUAACUGAUUAUUAGUCUAAACGGAAGGUUUACCACGUAUGUGUGCAAGUCUGUGGGGAGGACAUGGAUUUUGAGAUCCAGCUCCUGCCCGCACGUGCAAGAAAUUCAUGACCUACAUCUCUAAUAUAGCAUGGUAAAUCGUUUUUAUUCUUGAUCUAUCCAUUACGUUGUGUUCCAUUUCCUGGUAGGAAUUCUGGUUUAAUUUCACAUGCUGUUCAAACACAUAAGCACUUGAUGUGCAUUACUGACGUACUGAGGAAAUGCUACAGCUUGAUGUCUAUGUACAUUUAGAACUUUAGUUCCGACGACAUGUGUCUUGUGGAGUAUAUUGGCUUCCAGUACAACUUUACGUGCAAUGCAAUUUGGCAAAAACAGAUGAGAAAUUCCUUCUUAUUCCAGAACCACUUAAAUUCACCCAUUUGAUCUUUGUAGGAGAUAUUGGCACAAUGACUAUGUUUUUAGCAGUAUUGUUUGUAUUUUCCUUUGCAGGAAAUGCUUUAGGAAUUGGACUGUAGCAGUUUGGUCUCUUGAGCUCAUAAGAUCUGUUCUUACCAACAGAGCUACUUACAAACGUACCGGUCAUUAAUUACCAACUAAUGGUUGCAUAAUCUGACUGCUUUCUCUCCUAUGGAUCAUGCUACAGUUGAGUAUCCACUGAUUCCUAAAUGCUUGACCUGGCUAUACAUCUCCUUUUGUAAAUCAUUCUAGCCCCUGAUUACGAACUAGGCAAAUUUUAACAUUCUCCCUUUUACCCCAGCUUUUUACAUGUCAGGUAAGAAUGUCAGGUAAGAAGGUAAGAGUUAAUUAGACCACCUAUUAAUGAGAUCAACGGCUCAGAUCUAUUAUAUGCUCUUACCUCUCAUGUGAAAAAAAGAGAUAAGAGGGAGCAUGUUACAACUGCUCAACUACCAACUAACAGCUGCAUAACAUAACUUUGCUUUCUCCCUUGUUAAUCAUGCUUCCAAUUCAGUGCCUACUGAUUCACAUUGUCUAAUAUGCAUGUACCUUUUUUUGUUUAUAAUAAUCAUGCUCUGGUUAAAUAGUAACAGAGCAUAGACCAACAUUUCCUAUAAGAUUCUCCAAACAAAAUAUAUAUUAGAGAGCUACUCAGCGUCUACAUUUUCAAUACCAAUUACUGCCAGUAAAU
rnacentral:lncRNA from 1 species